rnacentral:rRNA from 1 species
GAUGAACGCUGGCGGCGUGCCUAAUACAUGCAAGUCGAGCGAACAGACGAGGAGCUUGCUCCUCUGACGUUAGCGACGGACGGGUGAGUAACACGUGGAUAACCUACCUAUAUGACUGGGAUAACUUCGGGAAACCGGAGCUAAUACCGGAUAAUAUAUUCAACCGCAUGGUUCAAUAGAGAAAUACGGUUUUGCUGUCACUUAUAGAUGGAUCCGCGCCGCAUUAGCUAGUUGGUAAGGUAACGGCUUACCAAGGUGACGAUGCGUAGACGACCUCAGAGGGUGAUCGGCCACACUGGAGCUGGGACACGGUCCAUACUCCUACGGGAGGCAGCAGAAGGCAAUCGUCCGCAAUGGGCGAAAGCCUGACGGAGCAGCGCCGCGUGAGUGAUGAAAAUGUUCGGAUCGUAAAAAUCUGUUAUGAGGGAAGAACAAAUGUGUAAGUAGCUGUGCACGGAUUGACGGUACCUAGUAAGGAAGCCACGGCUAACUACGUG